rnacentral:rRNA from 1 species
GACGAACGCUGGCGGCGUGCUUAACACAUGCAAGUCGAACGGACCCUUUGGGGUUAGUGGCGAACGGGUGAGUAACACGUGGGUGAUCUGCCCUGCACUUUGGGAUAAGCCUGGGAAACUGGGUCUAAUACCGGAUAGGACUACGCACUGCAUGGUGUGUGGUGGAAAGCUUUUGCGGUGUGGGAUGAGCCCGCGGCCUAUCAGCUUGUUGGUGGGGUGAUGGCCUACCAAGGCGACGACGGGUAGCCGGCCUGAGAGGGUGGCCGGCCACACUGGGACUGAGAUACGGCCCAGACUCCUACGGGAGGCAGCAGUGGGGAAUAUUGCACAAUGGGCGCAAGCCUGAUGCAGCGACGCCGCGUGAGGGAUGACGGCCUUCGGGUUGUAAACCUCUUUCGCCAGGGACGAAGCGCAAGUGACGGUACCUGGAGAAGAAGGACCGGCCAACUACGUGCCAGCCGCCGCAGUAAGAC